rnacentral:hammerhead_ribozyme from 1 species
UGCUGAGGAGUCCCAUAAUAGAACGAAACGGCCGUUCAGUGU